rnacentral:rRNA from 1 species
UACGGAGGGUGCUAGCGUUGUUCGGAAUUACUGGGCGUAAAGGGCGCGUAGGCGGCCGUUUGCGUCGGAUGUGAAAGCCCGGGGCUCAACCUCGGAACGGCGGUGGAUACUGAGAAGCUGGAGUACGGUAGAGGAAGGUGGAAUUCCCGGUGUAGCGGUGAAAUGCGUAGAGAUCGGGAGGAACAUCAGUGGCGAAGGCGGCCUUCUGGACCAGUACUGACGCUGAGGCACGAAAGCGUGGGGAGCAAACAGG